UGCAAUUAAAGUGUCUUCAACUUGUAGACAGGUGCAAAAGUAAAUCCUCUUUUGAAACCCAGAACUCAUUGUUCAGUAUGAGUUUUGAUACAGACAGGAUGGAACAGG
ensembl:snoRNA